ACUCCGUACGGGGAGGCAGCAGUGAGGAAUAUUGGUCAAGUGGGCGAAAGCCUGAACCAGCCAUGUCGCGUGCAAGGACGACUGCCCUAUGGGUUGUAACUGCUUUUAUAUGGGAAGAAAUGCGAGUACGUGUACUUGUUUGCCGGUACCAUAUGAAUAAGCAUCGGCUAACUCCGUGCCAGCAGCCGCGGUAAUACGGAGGAUGCGAGCGUUAUCCGGAUUCAUUGGGUUUUAAAGGGUGCGUAGGCGGAAGUGUAAGUCAGGGGUGAAAGUUUGCAGCUCAACUGUAAAAUUGCCUUUUGAUACUGCAUUUUCUUGAGUACAUUUUGAGGUAGGCGGAAUGUGUUGUGUAGCGGUGAAAUGCUUAGAUAUAACACAGAACACCGAUUGCGAAGGCAGCUUACUAAACUGUAACUGACGCUGAU
rnacentral:rRNA from 1 species